AUUGAACGCUGGCGGCAGGCCUAACACAUGCAAGUCGAGCGGAUGAAGGGAGCUUGCUCCUGGAUUCAGCGGCGGACGGGUGAGUAAUGCCUAGGAAUCUGCCUGGUAGUGGGGAUAACGUCCGGAAACGGGCGCUAAUACCGCAUACGUCCUGAGGGAGAAAGUGGGGGAUCUUCGGACCUCACGCUAUCAGAUGAGCCUAGGUCGGAUUAGCUAGUUGGUGGGGUAAAGGCCUACCAAGGCGACGAUCCGUAACUGGUCUGAGAGGAUGAUCAGUCACACUGGAACUGAGACACGGUCCAGACUCCUACGGGAGGCAGCAGUGGGGAAUAUUGGACAAUGGGCGAAAGCCUGAUCCAGCCAUGCCGCGUGUGUGAAGAAGGUCUUCGGAUUGUAAAGCACUUUAAGUUGGGAGGAAGGGCAAUAAGUUAAUACCUUGCUGUUUUGACGUUACCAACAGAAUAAGCACCGGCUAACUUCGUG
rnacentral:rRNA from 1 species